AGUGAACGCUGGCGGUAGGCCUAACACAUGCAAGUCGAACGGCAGCACAGUAAGAGCUUGCUCUUACGGGUGGCGAGUGGCGGACGGGUGAGGAAUACAUCGGAAUCUACUUUUUCGUGGGGGAUAACGUAGGGAAACUUACGCUAAUACCGCAUACGACCUACGGGUGAAAGCAGGGGAUCUUCGGACCUUGCGCGAUUGAAUGAGCCGAUGUCGGAUUAGCUAGUUGGCGGGGUAAAGGCCCACCAAGGCGACGAUCCGUAGCUGGUCUGAGAGGAUGAUCAGCCACACUGGAACUGAGACACGGUCCAGACUCCUACGGGAGGCAGCAGUGGGGAAUAUUGGACAAUGGGCGCAAGCCUGAUCCAGCCAUACCGCGUGGGUGAAGAAGGCCUUCGGGUUGUAAAGCCCUUUUGUUGGGAAAGAAAAGCAGCAGGUUAAUACCCCGCUGUUCUGACGGUACCAAAAGAAUAAGUACCGGCUAACUUCGUG
rnacentral:rRNA from 1 species